rnacentral:rRNA from 1 species
UACGGAAGGUCCGGGCGUUAUCCGGAUUUAUUGGGUUUAAAGGGAGCGUAGGCCGGAGGUUAAGCGUGCUGUGAAAUGUAGUCGCUCAACGGGUGCUGCAGCGCGAACUGGCUUCCUUGAGUGCGCGGUAAGUUGGCGGAGUUCGUUGUGUAGCGGUGAAAUGCUUAGAUAUGACGAAGAACUCCGAUUGCGAAGGCAGCUGACUGUAGCGUAACUGACGCUGAUGCUCGAAAGCGUGGGUAUCGAACAG